rnacentral:rRNA from 1 species
UGGGGAAUAUUGGACAAUGGGGGCAACCCUGAUCCAGCAAUGCCGCGUGUGUGAAGAAGGCCUGCGGGUUGUAAAGCACUUUUGGCAGGGAUGAAAAGCACUGGAUUAAUAACCCAGUGUGUUGACCUAACCUGCAGAAGAAGCACCGGCUAACUCUGUGCCAGCAGCCGCGGUAAUACAGGGGGUGCGAGCGUUAAUCGGAUUUACUGGGCGUAAAGGGCGCGUAGGCGGCAAUUCAAGUCAUCUGUGAAAUCUCCGGGCUUAACUCGGAACGGUCAGAUGAUACUGCUUUGCUAGAGUGCAGAAGGGGCAAUCGGAAUUCUUGGUGUAGCGGUGAAAUGCGUAGAUAUCAAGAGGAACACCUGAGGUGAAGACGGGUUGCUGGGCUGACACUGACGCUGAGGCGCGAAAGCCAGGGGAGCAAACGGGAUUAGAUACCCAGGUAGUCCCUGAGCGGGCUGGCAAGGCGCAU